rnacentral:rRNA from 1 species
GACGAACGCUGGCGGCGUGCCUAAUACAUGCAAGUUGAGCGCUGAAGGUUGGUACUUGUACCAACUGGAUGAGCAGCGAACGGGUGAGUAACGCGUGGGGAAUCUGCCUUUGAGCGGGGGACAACAUUUGGAAACGAAUGCUAAUACCGCAUAAAAACUUUAAACACAAGUUUUAAGUUUGAAAGAUGCAAUUGCCUCACUCAAAGAUGAUCCCGCGUUGUAUUAGCUAGUUGGUGAGGUAAAGGCUCACCAAGGCGAUGAUACAUAGCCGACCUGAGAGGGUGAUCGGCCACAUUGGGACUGAGACACGGCCCAAACUCCUACGGGAGGCAGCAGUAGGGAAUCUUCGGCAAUGGACGAAAGUCUGACCGAGCAACGCCGCGUGAGUGAAGAAGGUUUUCGGAUCGUAAAACUCUGUUGGUAGAGAAGAACGUUGGUGAGAGUGGAAAGCUCAUCAAGUGACGGUAACUACCCAGAAAGGGACGGCUAACUACGUG